rnacentral:ncRNA from 1 species
UCGGGUCGAGGGAACAAUUUUGGUCUGCUCUAUACGAGGAAGACAGAGUGGACUUACCGCUGGUGUACCAGUUGUUCUGCCAAGAGCAUCGCGUGGGUAGCUAUUGUAGGGAAAGGGAUAAACGCUGAAAGCAUCUAAGUGUGAAGCCCACCUCAAGAUGAGAUUUCCCAUGAUUUUAUAUCAGUAAGAGCCCUGAGAGAUGAUCAGGUUGAUAGGUUAGAAGUGGAAGUGUGGUGACACAUGUAGCGGACUAAUACUAAUAGCUCGAGGACUUAUCCAA